GGGCCGGUAGCUCAGUCUGGCAGAGCGACGGCCUCUUAAGCCGUCGGUCGAGGGUUCAAAUCCCUUCCGGCCCGC
rnacentral:tRNA from 1 species